AGUGGGGGAGCGAGCUCAGGCCUGGCGGACCCUUCCUGCCACCGCCCUCGCCUUCCGCCCCCCAGCCGCGGGGAUGCCCCGGGCGGCCGUGCCGCGCGCUGCCUCCGCUGCGGAGUGCUCUGGCUCUACACGUCCCGGGCCCGCCCGGCUGCUGGGCGUCUCCCAGCGCAGAGGCGGAGGGGUUCGGGGAGGUCGAAGACAAGUUCAGACCUCCCUGGAGGCUGGCUGCGUCUCUAAUCCGAGUGUCUUUCAGCCAACCCCAGGCUUUUUCGAGCCCCUAGCGCCCCAGCAGAGUGGCUGGGGUGGGGAGGACUCGGAUUCCAGAGCUCGCCAAAGCGGAGAGGCCCUGCAAUUCCUGGUCUCGCCAGCACUGCCUUCCGAGUGGGCGGAAAACCCGCGGCACCCGCCUGGCGCUCCGGG
rnacentral:lncRNA from 1 species